CAAGGUAUAUAGAUUUAGGAGGUAGAAUUAUAUAGAGCAAUUUGACAUUUCGCGACUUGACGUUUUUGUUCCGUGGUGAGGUGGAGAAGAAAUGGUUGUGGAAUGGUAGAAGGUAUUGGUGGAGGUAUUGUUUACAAAUAUUUACCCUCAUAGCUUCUUGUACUUUCGGUUUGCUCGGUUGUGGAUUGCGUGUUUUUGGUGGCUUUGAAGUGAUAUCAUAAGGAAGUGUGUUUUUUGAAGGUUAAUUUUUUGUUAUAGUUAUUUUUUAUAAUCAUUUAAUAAAAAUUAUAGUUUGUAUUAAGUGAUUUUGACUAUAACUUGGAUAGAUGUGUAGAUUCUAAAUUAAGAUCCACAUCUACAGUUCUUUGAAAUCGUUAGUUAAGUUUCAUUUACGAUAAUUUUCUUAUAAAAUAGUGUUUAGUUAGGUUAGUUAGUUAGCUCUAUGGUAAGAUAGUUACGUUAGUAUAGGUAUUAGUUUGAUAUUUUGUUGUUUGUUUUCAAGUAGCAUUAGUUAAAUUUUGUUUCUUUCAUUACCAUAACGAAUUUCAUAAGAACUUUUCUAAAACUUUUAAACAUGCCUGCUCCCUGUGCUGUUUCACUGUGUCGCAAUAAACGAUGCGAUGCAAAAAAACAUUCGGUGGAGAUUUCCUUCCACAUUUUCCCAAAAUCUGAACCCCUUCGUAAAUCUUGGGUUCAAUUUUGUAACCGGGAGGAAAAUUGGGAACCUUCAAUAAAUGACGUGAUAUGUUCAACACAUUUCCUAGAAAAUGAUUAUCUAAUGCCAAUUAAUAAUUUGGUUGGUGCUAAAGUGUCUCGAAGACUUCUUCUUCCUAAUGCUAUUCCAACAAUUAAAACUGCAUUGCAUACUGCAAUGAGUAAUCAACAGGAGGAAGAUUUGGAGUAAAGUUGUUCCGUUUCAUUGAAUCGUUAAAUAAAAAUAAUGAACAGCAAAUACAGCUUUAAAAUAGACUUAUUGUAAACGGUUGGCACCUGCACACGUUGGGUUGUGUUGUUCACGAAUAAAAAUUACAAAUUUUCCCUCUUGCCUUAAAUAUUGAAUGCCCCGUAAACAGUUUACAGUAUCAUUCAAUAUAAACGUUCUUACACCGAUGAUCGAUGGAGUCCUUACCUGGAUCCAGUGGAGGCAGCACAUCAUGAUACUGAUACUUUACGGUCCACGCACUGGUGGUGCUGGUGCUUUCAAAUCAUAGUGAAACUUUCCGAACAAUCUGAUGGCAGAGAAUCGAAUUAGUCGUUCGUUGAAACCACAGAUGAAUGAAGAAUAGAGGAAGCAUCCAUACAAUCUACUGGACAACGAAUGCAUAAAAUACUUACCUACGCAUAAUUGCUAAUGCUAUCCAGUGAAGCAUUAUACGCCUGACGGGUACGAAAGAUAAGGGUUUCGAGGUGGAUGCGGCACAAUUCUAUCCUAUUCCUUGUAAUUUAUGGUACUUAGCACGAGAAUCGAACAGCUUCACUUAAUCUACCAGUGUAAUUUUAUCGAGUGGUAUGCCGUAAUUCGAUACGUCCGAUAGGCCUUUGGUAGC